UGGGGAAUAUUGCACAAUGGGCGAAAGCCUGAUGCAGCGACGCCGCGUGAGGGAUGACGGCCUUCGGGUUGUAAACCUCUUUCGACAGGGACGAAGCGUAAGUGACGGUACCUGUAGAAGAAGCACCGGCCAACUACGUGCCAGCAGCCGCGGUAAUACGUAGGGUGCGAGCGUUGUCCGGAAUUACUGGGCGUAAAGAGCUUGUAGGCGGUUUGUCGCGUCGUCUGUGAAAACUCACAGCUCAACUGUGAGCUUGCAGGCGAUACGGGCAGACUUGAGUACUGCAGGGGAGACUGGAAUUCCUGGUGUAGCGGUGAAAUGCGCAGAUAUCAGGAGGAACACCGGUGGCGAAGGCGGGUCUCUGGGCAGUAACUGACGCUGAGAAGCGAAAGCGUGGGUAGCGAACAGGAUUAGAUACCCUGGUAGUCCACGCCGUANCGGUGGGUACUAGGUGUGGGUUUCCUUCCACGGGAUCCGUGCCGUAGCUACGCAUUAAGUACCCCGCCUGGGGAGUACGGCCGCAAGGCU
rnacentral:rRNA from 1 species